CCUACGGGAGGCUGCAGUGGGGAAUAUUGGACAAUGGGCGAAAGCCUGAUCCAGCCAUGCCGCGUGUGUGAAGAAGGCCUUCGGGUUGUAAAGCACUUUCAGUGGGGAAGAAAGCCUUGGGGCUAAUACCCUCGAGGAAGGACAUCACCCACAGAAGAAGCACCGGCUAACUCCGUGCCAGCAGCCGCGGUAAUACGGAGGGUGCGAGCGUUAAUCGGAAUUACUGGGCGUAAAGCGCGCGUAGGCGGUCUGAUAAGCCGGUUGUGAAAGCCCCGGGCUCAACCUGGGAACGGCAUCCGGAACUGGCAGGCUAGAGUGCAGGAGAGGAGGGUAGAAUUCCCGGUGUAGCGGUGAAAUGCGUAGAGAUCGGGAGGAAUACAAGUGGCGAAGGCGGCCCUCUGGACGGACACUGACGCUGAGGUGCGAAAGCGUGGGUAGCAAACAGGAUUAGAUACCCUGGUAGUC
rnacentral:rRNA from 1 species